AACCUUUUUAAAGCGAAUCAGUAUAUUACCUGCGUGUGCGUGCGACUGCCGCAACUAUUAACCAAUCAAACUACAAUAAACACAACAUGUAUAUGCGCAGUUUAAGAAAAUAAUUCCUCGACACAGUUAGACGUACUUUUAUGCGUACUUUGACAGUGAUAUUUUAAAAUGAAUUUCGUUGUGACAUUGUUGAACAUAUUUGUUUUGGGUAAGUUCAAUUAUUUUUAUAACUUAUACAAAGAAGGGAAACAAGUAAAAUAUGUAUGUACUAUAAAUAAGAAGAUGUGGUAUGAGUGCCAAUGAGACAACUCCCCAUAUAAGUAACAAUUAUAGAUAAAGAUUUGUAAGGGUUCCGCGGAACCCAAUGUCUCGCCUACUUUUGCUGUUAAUCACACACUCAUCAAAAAUGAUGAAAAAAAAUCAAUAAAUUAUCUCUCGAUACUAUCUUUGAUUGUCAGAAGCUUCUGUCCAUUUGGUAAAAAUCCAGGCUAGUUUAAGAAUCUUAAAAAUGUUUAAAUACUUACUGCAGACUGUAUGUAAUGUUAACUGGAGAAAAACUAAGUCCAUUAUAAGUAAAAACAGGAAAAAUGGAAUUUUAUUUUUACAAAUUUACUUCUGGAUACUAUCUUCUGAUCAUGAAACAAGCUUUGGCCAAGUUUUGUACAUUUCCAGGAUAGUUUAAGAAGUUAUUAAAUUUUUAAAAACUUUUAAGCCACAAGUGAUGUACUGUUUCCUGCAGAAAAAAACUAAGUCCAUUUUAUAAUAAAAUACGGACGGAAUUUUUUUUUUACAAAAUUUACUUCUGGAUACUAUCUUAUGAACAUAAACAAGCUUCUGUCCAAGUUUCGUACAAUUCAAGGAUAGUUUAAGAAAGCUAUUAAAAUUUCAAAACUUUAACCACAGAGUGAAUAUUUGUGGACCGCCGACGACGACGGAUGUAGGAUGUAUGUUCGCUUUUUCGACUAAAGUCGAAGGCUCGACAAAAAUACGGCCUUGAUCACGGAGCCUUGGCUCACAUUGAGCAGCAAGCUAAAAAAGGACUCGAAAUGCAAAACAUUUCAAACAAGAAAACCAACGGUAUAAUCUAUAUAAAAAUGAGAAACGAAAACACCUAUGAACACACCAACACACCACAAUCACUGAACACUGAAAAGGCUCCUAACUGCAUGUAUGAGGGUCUGGAUGGGGGGGGGGGGGGGGGUCGUUAUUCUGUAACAUUUAAUUUCCCCUUUUUUCUCCAAUCUUUCAAAAAUAACCCUUUUUUCUAAUUCAAAAAUAACCCCUUUUUCUCUAAUUCAUUUUUUUUUGCCCUUUAUUCUCUAUCUUCAUUUUAGGGCUUAUUCUUAAUCAUUUACCAUCCAACCCGAUGUAUCUCAGUAUAUUUGUUUCAAUAUUGUUAACAAUAUAUUGUAGGAAAUAACCACUGAAUGUACAUGAGAGAAUAUAAACUUGUUUUUUAAACGUAGUCAUAAUGAGCCUUCAUCGUAAACUAAGAAGCCACCCACAAAUCCAAGACCUCAAGAAAAACAAAACAAACAUUAUCUGCUUCAUCUUAAAUAAUACUUUAUACAUUCGUUUAUUAAAAAAAUCACUCAUUACUUUAUUUUGAUUCACAUCUGCAAUAAAAAUUAAAUAUCAUAAAUGCAUGAAACUAUGAGUAAACAAGAUAAUCAAAAUUUCAAACGUAACUUUCACAUCUUGUUCGCCAAAGUUCAAGUAGCUUGAGCUUUUCCACGUGAAAUAAAUCAACGUAAAUAUGUGAAUAAAUACAUGUUUUAAGGAUCUACAUGGCACAGAAUGACAUUGUGGUUAUUGUGGGUUUCUAAUGAUAACAUUAUAUAUUCUAGCGGGACGGUGCAGUGUAGGCGAUUUGGUGUCACAGUAGCAUGGGUUCAAAUCCCGGCGAGGGAAGAACCAAAAAUUUGCAAAAGCAAAUUUACAGAUCUAUAACAUUGUUGGGUUAUGUUAACGGUUGUAUAUUAUUUGUAACAGCCAUGUAUACAUCAUUGAUGGUGAUCCGAUGGAUCAUCUGUUGAGUUGUCACUGCAGACGUACUUAUGAUAUAAUUAUUUUCUGUGACUGUAUCUUAAUUAAUGUGUAGGAUCUUACUAUAGAUAAUUUAUGAUUGUACAAUAAAUCUUCAUGCCUUAAUAUCAUGUACUGUAGUACGCGCUAGUUAAAACUGACGUGGAAAGGUAAACAUGGCAGCGAAAGCUAUUUUUUGAGAGCCGGUGGCGUGUGUCAGCGGACGGCUGCAGUGCAGGCGAUUUGGUGUACGAUAUCACAGUAGAUGGGUUCGAAUCCCGGAGGGAAGAACAAAUUUGCGAAGAAAUUUACGACUUAAAUUGUUGGGUUGAUGUUUAGACGAGUUGUAUAUAUAUUAUUACACAGCCAUGUAUCACCAUCAUUGAGGCGAUCGAUGGUACAUCUGUUGUGGGUUGUAUGACUCAGACGUACUUAUAAUAUAAUUAUUUUCUGUGACUGUAUCUUACUUAAUGUGUGAUCCUUUACUAAGAAAUUUAGCUGAUUGUAAAAUAAAUUCAUGCUUAUAUAGAUGUAUGUAGUACGCCGCUAGAUAAAACUGACGUGAAAGGUAACAAUGGCCAAGCGAAAGCUCUUUUUUGAGAGCCAGGUGGUCGGUGGUCUAGCGGGCGCUGCGUGCAGCGAUUUGGUGUACGAUAUCACAGUAGCAUGGGUUCGAAUCCCGGCGAGGAAGAACCAAAUUUCGAAAGCAAUUUACAGAUCUAACAUUGUUGGGUUGAUGUUUAGACGACUGUAUAUACAUUAAUGUACACACCAUGUUACAUCAUUGAUGCGAUCCGAUGAUACAUUGUUGAGGGUUGCAUGACUCAGACGUACUUAUGAAUAUAAUUUUCUGUGACUGUAUCUUACAUUAAUUUGUAGGAUCCUUUACUAUAGAUAAUUCAGCUGAUCUGUAACAAUAACAUCUUCAUGCCUCAUAUAUCAUGUACUGUAGUACGCCGCUAGAUUAAAAACUGACGUGGAAAGGUAACACAUGGCCAGCGAAAGCUCUUUUUUGAGAGCCCAAUAAUUAAGAAGUAAUAAGAUAGAUAUAAGAUGCAAUAUGAGUGUCAAUAAGACAACAAGCCUUACUUGGAGAGAAGCCUUACCUGGAGAGACUAUUCAUAACUUUCAUCAUUAGCAGUAAACAAUCAAUCAAUCAAAAAAGUCCCAAUUAUAAAAGGGACUAUGUGAUAAAAGUUAAUAAGGCAGCAACCUGAUUUUUUUCAAAUACGUUUAGAUUUUAAUACAAAAUAAAAACAAUACUUUAUAUACGUCAUGCGUCCGAAGCACUUCUCUAGAUUUACCUUCAAAUGGAACGCUCACAGACGAAUACCGGUAUAUCAAAGCCAAGAAUGUAUGAUUUCAAAAUUGAUAAGCGGACAAAUUAAUUGGUAAAAUUCGUUUCUAGGCUAAUAAUAUAUUAAGUUUGGUGGACUCUGUACAAUGCAAUGUCCUAACAGUGUCACAGAUUCAGGACACCUUAAAGCUUGCAAUCUUAUGAAAAAGGAACUCGGAAUUUGUUUUAUAAAGCUUGGCAUGUGGUAAUGAAAGUUAUCACACCUCUUGUGACAUUAACUUUUUAUGAACUUAUUUAUUAAACUGUUCACACGAUCUCUCAUACAUAUUUUAUCCAUAGUUUGAUAAAUUCGUUCAAUAGAAGACAUGUUUCCAUUUGUAGUGAUCUUCAUUGUAAGCUGUGUCAAUGGACUGGACUUUGCAUCCUUUGACAAAACAGCCCAUGCCUACUGCGCAAGUAGUCAUUCAAAUGGUCACGUGUUUGUUUUAAGAUUGUGAGAAAAUUACAAAGGAUUGCAAAGCAAUAUGUACAGCGGCAAAAGAUGCAACAGUUGGCACAAUUUCCAAUAAGAAAGACUC
rnacentral:lncRNA from 1 species